GAGUGAACGCUGGCGGUAGGCCUAACACAUGCAAGUCGAACGGCAGCACAGUAAGAGCUUGCUCUUACGGGUGGCGAGUGGCGGACGGGUGAGGAAUACAUCGGAAUCUACUUUUUCGUGGGGAUAACGUAGGGAAACUUACGCUAAUACCGCAUACGACCUACGGGUGAAAGCAGGGGAUCUUCGGACCUUGCGCGAUUGAAUGAGCCGAUGUCGGAUUAGCUAGUUGGCGGGGUAAAGGCCCACCAAGGCGACGAUCCGUAGCUGGUCUGAGAGGAUGAUCAGCCACACUGGAACUGAGACACGGUCCAGACUCCUACGGGAGGCAGCAGUGGGGAAUAUUGGACAAUGGGCGCAAGCCUGAUCCAGCCAUACCGCGUGGGUGAAGAAGGCCUUCGGGUUGUAAAGCCCUUUUGUUGGGAAAGAAAAGCAGCAGGUUAAUACCCCGCUGUUCUGACGGUACCCAAAGAAUAAGCACCGGCUAACUUCGUG
rnacentral:rRNA from 1 species